AUUUACACAUCUACACUACAGUAAUACCGUGCAAGGGAGGUGGGAACUUUAUCGUGUCGUCACCACAUGUCUUUCCAAACACGGAAACCAAAACCAAAGCGCAGUAAUCAGAAUAAUAGAAUGAACGGUUCAUGCAAAGCUCUGCAAGCACUAUCAUGUAGUGUUCUGUGAAUCUGUUCCACAUACAGCGUCAUAGAGAGGGUAAAAAAAAACGAUUGUCUUUUAACAGAAAAUCUGCAUUUGCCGAGCCUGUCAACUAAGGAAAAGAACAUCAAAACUAUACAGCCAAGAGGAUGCACAUUCACUGUAUGAGAAAGGCACAGUGAGGUGGUUUGAGGCACAUUUCCCUAAUCAGACUGCAUUGUCCACUCAUCUGGUGUUUUUUGAGGCUUUAGAAAAGGAAAUAACCCCCUUCCUGGAAAGGAACAGCUACGUGAACACCUCACAGUUUUUUCAUACUCCCAUCCCUGAAGGCCAGGUUGGAAGAAACAUAUGCAUAUAUGAGAGGCAAACUUAAUAAAAAAUACUUCUUUUGAAGGGUGGGGAAUUUAACAAGAUAUUUAGUGGGGUAUACAGUGAUCUGUGAAGGCAUUUGUGGACACUCCAGACAGAAUAUAUAUUUCUAGAUGUUUUUAGGCAUUUUAUCAUGUAAAUAAACCAUAAUUUAUUAAUAUGUUUUGCUCUUGAACUUUGUUUUCUCAAAUAGUUAUUUGUUAACAAUAGGCUGAGGCCCUUUUUCCUGCAACAACACUACAGGUUCACAUCCUCUGUGUUACAGGCAAUAGGACACCCCUGGAUGCUUAGGCUCAAUCAGAGGGGCCCUAUUCUCUAUAACAGAGGCAGUGAAUCUGAGUAUGGGGUGAAAAAGUCUGAAAGCCAAACUUUACAUGGCUGAAAAUGGGUUGCUAUUUUAACAGCUGGCUUACUCCACCUUUACAAUUAAUUAGUAAAAUAAACUUGCAAUAUUUUCAGUAAUGAACAAAGUAUGUUGUUGUAAACUGUAGAGUUAAUGUGGAUUUAAAUAAUAAAUCCAAUAAUAAAGACAGGACUACCCAGGUAACCA